UUAGUAAACGGCCAGAGACUUAGGACAGGCCUGCCACAUGAAUGAAUGAAUGCAUGAAUGAACAGCGACAGGUUCUCAGGAAGGAGAGGGCUACCUGAGGGGCUCAGAGCUUAGGGAGUCAGCGGAUGUGUUACCCGUGGAGCAGGCUCCCAGGGCCAGGCGGGACGAACCAGGAAGCAGAUGGUUCUGUGAAAGCCAGAUGACUGAGGCUGUGAGCCGGGCGUGGGAGACCCCUGAAUGGCUUGGGACAGACGUCCUGGUUGGAGUGGGGAUGUGUGUGUGUGUGUGUGUGGGGGGGGGAAACCCGGCCGCUGCCUCACGUUCUGGGGGUCUGGGUAGACCACAAGGCAUAGGGCAGAGUUCUAGAGCCACGGCUCGGCUCCCUUGACUGGCUGGGACUCCCUGGGAAGGUCAUGAUCAUGACCUUCGCAGAGGCCCCGAGGUCACUCGUGCUGGAGUCUGCUGCAGAUCCCUUUCUUACUCUGGGCUCCCCUCGAAACCGGCCGGUGACAGAUGCACUGUUGCUCGAUAACUGGGUCGGAGCAGAAUCCCCUGGUGGGGCGGAUACGGCCUCCAAACAUGCCUCUUUUUUGGUGACAGGAGGGACAACGUGUAAGUUGUCCUUCAUCUUGGAAGGGAUGUCUCAGUGCCUCCAAAGCACCACACCCUAAACGCCUCCCCAGUGAGUCACGCCCCCGGCAGGUGUGUGUCUUACCAGGUACUUGCGCCUUCUGGCCGACGACCGCGAUGUCAUCAGUGUGCAGGACCGGCGGGACGCCGUGCAGGAUGGCUAGGUGACCACGGGCGACCCCCGGGUGCACGUCCUUCCCUGUGAGUGCCGCCUGCUUCGCUCCUGAUGCUACUCGGAAAGAACACAUUCACCAGAUCGACAGCCACGCGCCCGGGGCCCAGGGCUGUCGAUCUGUCCUCGCAAAGAUGCCGGCACAGCAUCUGCCGUUGAAGUUACCAAAUAUCCACCAGGACCCGUGUGGUUUUUGCAGGGACUGUGCUGGUGAGUUCAGCGGGGACAGGAGUGGGCCACCUCCCCGUAUCAUCCAAGCCUUUGCCAUUCCCCUGGGGCUGCCCGUUGCCUCUGAUUCAUAGACUCAGACGGGAGCUGAGGGCAUUUCUAAGGGUUUCUACUAGGCCUUUCCCACCGUGAUGGUCCCAGCAGGCACUGGAGAGCUUCCUCUGGGAAAACGAGGCUCGCGGGUCUCUCCUCCUUCCGGGUUCUGGACGGAGGCGGCCUGGGUCACCGGCUGACCCUGAUACACAGCAGUACACGGUCAGCGUCUGGCAACAACACUUGGUCUUCACCGAGUUAACUUCUGUGUUGUGUUUCUAUUGACAACAAGUGACCCUGGGCUUCCGUCUCUGCUGCCGAUUUACAGCUUUUGUUUCUGGCCCAGGUCUUACCGAAACACCUGAUCAGAUUGAAAGAGACCGCGUGGAGGGCGGGGGAGGGUGUGGGGCGCUGGGUCAGGCCCUACAGGACCAGCUGUCCCGCUCUCUGCCGCCCCCUGCGGGCCACGUCCUGUGGGUCCCGCGGCCUCACUUGGGCUGGUCUGUUGUUCAGGUUUGGGGGCGCCAACGGACUGCCCCCUCUGCACCGGGCGCCUCCGCCCACGCCCCCGGGGGUCCAGAGACGAACCGGGGACGCGGCCGUGCCCUCCGAGGGCUCCCGGGGGGACAGCAGUGCAGCUGCUCCUGGGCCGGACUCAGCCAGGAGCCAGUGGGGACCCCUCCCAGGGCACCGGGGCCUCAGCCCGGAGCUGUGCCUGCAGGCGGGCUGUGGAGUGUUGGGACACGGCGACAAGCUUCCGGGAGGACCACCUAACGUCCAUGCCCUGACCUCAGCACCCUGACCUGUUUCAUCCUGACCUCCACACCCUGAUCGCAGAGUCCCAACCUGUGCGCCCUGACCUCUGCUCCCUGACCUGCAUACCCUGACCUCCACGCUCUGACCUCGUCGCCCUGACCUCUGCACCCUGACCUGCGCACCUUCACCUCCACGCCCUGACCUCCGCUGCGUGACCUUGGCGCGCUAAGCUGCGCACCUGACCCGGGCUCCCUGAGCUGUUCCGACUUAACACGACGGGCCUGCAGUACCUCCUUACGGCCACACGGGGGCGUAGGGCCGCGCGCCCCGGGGCGGAGGAGCGUGGCCAGCGCGGCCGGCGGCGGGACCCGAUCCCCGGACACCUGGGCGCUGCGCCCCCAGGGGCUGGAUUCUGCCGUCGCCGACUCCAGCUUCUCCGUGGAGCCUGAGGGGCUACAGAGACCGCUCACGUUGGUGUGCAGGUGUGCCCACCCCCAGAGAGGCGUUUGGGGGUGCGGGUGGCGGAGGCCGCGCCCUCUCCGUCUGUUAGGUUUCAGUCCCCACAGUCGGAGACCAGGGGCAUCUGUCGUUUGCUCGCUGCAUACUCCCAAUGCCGGGGACAGCGCCCGACAGCCCAUUCGCUGAAAUGUCUGCACCGAGCCGGCGGAGUCAACCAACCGGGGACACGAAGUGGGAAACGAGGGACACUAGUCAUUGCAGUCAGGGCCCACCCUCCUCCAGUCUGACCUUGACCUAGUGACAUCUGCAAAUACCCUGGUUUUUGAAUAGGACCGCAUUUCGAGCUUCCGAGUGGACAUGAUUUGGAGAGGACACCAUUCCAAACCCUGUGCGUCCGGGAAUGGGACUGGGGAGCCCCUGUGCACCUGUUCCCCAGCGGGAGGAGGCCGCACCACCAGUAUCCUUUCCUGAAGUCUCCUUUCUGCUUCAGGGCAUCGUGAGGUCCGUAAGAAUACUGUGCACGGGAGGUCCAGUUGCCACAGGCACAGAUGUCCUCACUUCCAGCGUCUGUCAUUAGAGUGCUACGAUUGUUACUGCCCGCGGACACCGUGGAGACCAUCUUACCGGGCGCACAGCGCUGUUCACCCGGGGGCCCUGACAACGUCGAAGGGACGCGUCUAGCACCACACCCCACCUUCCAAUGACAUUCCCCAGCACGCGGGCUCCCGUCCGGCCCCGGCAGCCCUCGGGGAUGGCUGCACGCAGACCGUCCUGUACAGAAGGUCCCCUUCCAGGCCCUCCUCCCACUUUGUAUACCAAUGGCACCUGUAACUUGCAACAGCAGUUUUGUUUUUUUUUUUUUUUCUCUAGUAAAACAAAAAGCUGGAGGGGCUCCUGGGCGGCUCAGUCACUUAAGGGUCCAACUUCGGCUCAGGUCAUGAUCUUACAGCUCGUGAGUUCGAGCCCCGCGUGAGGCUCUGGGCCCACAGCUCAGAGCCUGGAACCGGCUUCGGAUUCUGUGUCUCCCUCUCUCUGUGCCCCUCCCCCACCCAUACUCCGUGUCUCUGUCUCUCACUCAAAAGUAAAUAAACAUUAAAGUCACA